AUUGAACGCUGGCGGCAGGCCUAACACAUGCAAGUCGAACGAGUGGCGGACGGGUGAGUAAUGUCUGGGAAACUGCCUGAUGGAGGGGGAUAACUACUGGAAACGGUAGCUAAUACCGCAUACCAUCGGAUGUGCCCAGAUGGGAUUAGCUAGUAGGGGGGGUAAAGGCUAACAUAGGCGACGAUCCCUAGCGGGGCUGAGAGGAUUACCAGCCAAACUGGAACUUAUACACGGUCCCGACUCCUACGUGAGGCAGCAGUGGGGAAUAUUGCACAAUGGGCGCAAGCCUUAUGCAGCCAUGCCGCGUGUAUGAAGAAGGCCUUCGGGUUGUAAAGUACUUUCAGCGGGGAGGCGUUACCCGCAGAAGAAGCACCGGCGAACUCCGUGCCAGCAGCCGCGGUAAUUC
rnacentral:rRNA from 1 species